CUGGUUUGCGAAGAGAGAUCUUGACAGAACCGUUCUCCACAAGUUACCAGAAUGAUUAUGUCGACUAUUUUUCUCAGUUUGCUGCUGACUUUCUUAUCAUGUGUCCAAUCGGAGAUUAUUUUGACUCAAAAAGUGGCGGAAACCGGCCAUCCUGGAGGCACCCUAAGACUGACCUGUAAAACCAGCGGGUUCAAUCUUGGCAACGACUGGAUGAUCUGGAUCCGACAAGUUCCCGGACAGGGCCUGGAGUGGCUGCUUGCAUACAAAAGUUCGUCGAGCAAUAACUAUGCCCCAGGGUUUAAAGAUCGAUUUACUGCGUCCAAAGACACUUCAAACAACAUCUUCGCGUUGGACAUGAAGAGCCUGAAGAUCGAAGACACCGCCAUCUAUUACUGUGCAAGAGGCCACAGGGAGAGCUAUCUUGAUUACUGGGGACAAGGGACCAUGGUGACGGUGACUGCAGUGACAACAUCUUCUCCCACACUUUAUGGCCUCAUCUCCUCCUGUCAGCAACACAACAUCGAUGGUUCUGUGAUCUUUGGUUGCUUGGCAAUGGACUAUUCCCCUGACGUCACCAAGGUGACCUGGAAGAAAGGUGGGAAGCCGAUCACGACUGGAUUGAAGACUUACCCAUCAGUGAGGAACAAGAAGGGAACUUAUACCCUAAGCAGCCAGUUAACCGUAGCUGAGUCAGAGGCGGAUUGCAGCAAAAUCUACUGUGAAGUUCAACACAUUGGGUCAGAGGAGAACACUAAAAUGCCAUGUCCAAUUAUUGUCCAUCCAACUCUUCUCCUAACUGUGAGUUCCAGUGAAGAAAUUACGAACAGCAAAUUUGCAACCAUCGUCUGUUCAAUCAUCGAUUUCCAACCAAAGUCAAUCUUAGUGACUUGGUUGAAGAAUGGACGACCCGUGGAUUCUGGCUUCUUCAACUCUCCUGUGUAUGAAACGAACAAGAACUUCUCAGCGACCAGUCGGCUGAGAGUCCCUUCUAGUGAAUGGUUCAACAGUGCAGUCUAUACUUGCCAGGUCACCCAUGAAGGGCUCAUUCAAAGUGGAAACAUCACCGGAUUCCAGGUUACGGAGUGCCGUGAUUACACAGUUAAAAUACUACCGCCGCCAAUCGAACAGGUCUUACUGGAGGCGACGGUGACGUUGACCUGUGUUGUAUCCAAUCUUCCUUUUGGAGUCAACGUCACCUGGACACAGGAAAAUAAGCCUUUGAAAUCAGAGAUUGCUGACCAAGCCAGAGAGGAUCCCGACAGCGUGAUCAGCAAAUUGGACAUUUCUACUGAAGCCUGGCUGAGUGGGGUUACUUUCUACUGCGUGGUGAACCAUCAGUAUCUACCGACUCCUCUCAGAGACUCCAUCCACAAGGAGAAACCAAUAAAUCCACUGGAGCCAUCAGUGUCUGUCCUCUUGCCACCGACGGAAGAAGUCUCCACUCAGAAGUUUGUCUCCCUCACUUGUUUCGUGAGACAUUUCUCCCCCCGUGACAUCUUCGUCAAGUGGACAAACAAUGAUAAGCCGGUGAAUCCCAGUAACUACAAGAACACCGAGGUGACGGCAGAGAGCGACAACGCCUCCUUCUUCAUGUACAGCCUGUUAUCCAUUGCAGCGGAGGAGUGGGCCAGCGGUGCUUCUUACUCCUGUGUGGUGGGACAUGAAGCGAUUCCAUUGAAGAUCAUUAACAGAACAGUUGACAAAUCCAGCGAUUCAAUAGAUCACCCUCGGAUUGAAGACUAUGAGGAUGAUAACAGCAACAUCUGGACGACUGCUUCCACAUUCAUCACCCUGUUCUUCCUGAGUAUUUUCUACAGCGCUGCCAUCACUCUGGUGAAGGCCAAGUGAAUAAAUUUUGGAUCCUGUACAAUUUCCUCAUCUGUUUGUUGAGCCUUCUGAAAUCCAAAUCUACAAUCUAUCCUGUUGUUGACUCUAACAGUGCGAUAACUUCAGUUUAUGAGUGUGUACCUGACAAAAUAAUUGAUGGCGUUUCCGUUUUUUUUGGUAUCGUUAAGAAAACUAUGUAUGAAAUACUUUGUAACUUCCCAUUUUUUGAAGACGGCUUGUAUUUUUUUUUUGUCGUUGUUGUUGUUCCUUAUUCAGAAUGGUGGCCUGACCUUUAUUUUGAGCUUGUACUUUCUCUUUCUGAUGAUUGUUACAGCUCAGAGCACGUGCGUCUUCAUUCCAAUGUGCUAUCAAUUCAUUAUAUUUACUUACAUUAACUUUAACAUACAUUUUUGGAUAAAAAUGCUGUCUGAAAUAGUUAAUAAAUCAUUAAUGAAUAUAUACAAA